rnacentral:misc_RNA from 1 species
AAGGAUCAUUAUUGAAAUAAAUCUGAUGAGCUGCUGCUGGUUCUCUAGGGAGCAUGUGCACGCUUGUCAUCUUUAUAUCCACCUGUGCACCUUUUGUAGACCUGGAUAUCUCUCUGAGCGCUAGUCACUCAGGUUUGAGGAUUGACUUUAUGUCUCUCUUUACAUUUCCAGGCCUAUGUUCUUCAUAUACCCCAAUGUAUGUCAUAGAAUGUAAUCAAUGGCCUUUGUGCCUAUAAACCUAUACAACUUUCAGCAACGGAUCUCUUGGCUCUC